GGCUAAUACCGCAUGAUGCCUACGGGCCAAAGAGGGGGACCUUCGGGCCUCUCGCGUCAGGAUAUGCCUAGGUGGGAUUAGCUAGUUGGUGAGGUAAGGGCUCACCAAGGCGACGAUCCCUAGCUGGUCUGAGAGGAUGAUCAGCCACACUGGAACUGAGACACGGUCCAGACUCCUACGGGAGGCAGCAGUGGGGAAUAUUGCACAAUGGGCGCAAGCCUGA
rnacentral:rRNA from 1 species